rnacentral:rRNA from 1 species
UACAGAGGUCCCAAGCGUUGUUCGGAUUCACUGGGCGUAAAGGGUGCGUAGGUGGUAGACUAAGUCGGGUGUGAAAUCUCCGGGCUCAACCCGGAGGGUGCGCCCGAAACUGGUCUGCUAGAGGAUGGGAGGGGAGACUGGAAUUCUCGGUGUAGCAGUGAAAUGCGUAGAUAUCGAGAGGAACACCGGUGGCGAAGGCGAGUCUCUGGACCAUUCCUGACACUGAGGCACGAAAGCCGGGGGAGCAAACAGG